GAAUCAAAUCUUUCAUUGCAUCUAAUAUCAUAAUGCUUGGUGCAAGUUUUUAGAUAAAAAAUUAACCAAAAAUUUCGCCCAGAUCCUAAAAAGCUCCAAUUUCAAUAAAAUCAAUCACUGGCUAGACGAAUGGAGGUUAGACCUAGACUUAGCAAGUAGAGUCACUCUUCUCUAUAUGGCGAGUGUUGCAGUGGUGCGUGGAGGUAUUUUUGAAGUUGCUCUUUUCAAAUAGAUUCUUUCUUUUAUCAUUCUGAACGUUUUUAUAUUGCUACUUUUUUGUUACAGGUUUGUACGGUUUUACCCCUGGACGCUCAACUUAUGAUUACUAGUCAAUCGUGUUAGUACAUUUGCUGAAACUUUAGGGCGAGUAGUAGCGGCCAUAAAGCAGGAGAGUCACAUCUUUGGAUAUUUAAGGACAUGGU
rnacentral:lncRNA from 1 species